GGGUUAGUAGGUUGGUCAUGCCUCUGUUAUGUACUGGUCUCACUGAUUCCUCCUUCCUGAUGAGCCGUAAUGCCAUUAAUUUGGUGUUGCGGGGAAUUUGGACUGUUACUUUGAGAAAAUUAGAGUGUUUAAAGCAAGCUAACGCUUGAAUACAUUAGCAUGGAAUAAUGAAAUAGGACGCGUGUCUCUAUUUUGUUGGUUUCUAGGAUUGACGUA
rnacentral:rRNA from 1 species